rnacentral:rRNA from 1 species
GCAUAUCAAUAAGCGGAGGAAAAGAAACCAACAGGGAUUGCCCCAGUAACGGCGAGUGAAGCGGCAACAGCUCAAAUUUGAAAUCUGGCUUCGGCCCGAGUUGUAAUUUGCAGAGGAUGUUUAUGGUGCGGUACCUUCCGAGUUCCCUGGAACGGGACGCCACAGAGGGUGAGAGCCCCGUCUGGUUGGAUACCAAACCUGUGUUAAACUCCUUCAACGAGUCGAGUAGUUUGGGAAUGCUGCUCUAAAUGGGAGGUAAAUCUCUUCUAAAGCUAAAUAUUGGCCAGAGACCGAUAGCGCACAAGUAGAGUGAUCGAAAGAUGAAAAGCACCUUGAAAAGGGGGUUAAACAGUACGUGAAAUUGUUAAAAGGGAAGCGUUUAUGACCAGACUUGUGUCGUGUGGCUCAUCCGAGGUUCUCCCCGGUGCACUCCACACGGCUCAGGCCAACAUCGGUUCUCGUUGGGGGAUAAGAACAGCAGGAACGUGGCCCUCUUCGGAGGGUGUUAUAGCCUGCUGUACGAUACCCUGAUGGGGACCGAGGACCGCGCUUCGGCUAGGAUGUUGGCGUAAUGGUCAUUAGCGACCCGUCUUGAAACACGGACCAAGGAGUCGUCCAUUAGAGCGAGCGUUUGGGUGUAAAACCCGCACGCGUAAUGAAAGUGAAAUUAGGUGAGAGCUUCGGCGCAUCAUCGACCGAUCCUGAAGUUUACGGAUGGAUUUGAGUAAGAGUUUUAACGGACGGACCCGAAAGACAGUGAACUAUGCUUGAAUAGGGUGAAGCCAGAGGAAACUCUGGUGGAGGCUCGCAGCGGUUCUGACGUGCAAAUCGAUCGUCAAAUUUGAGCAUGGGGGCGAAAGACUAAUCGAACUGUCUAGUAGCUGGUUACCGCGA